GACGAACGCUGGCGGCGUGCUUAACACAUGCAAGUCGAACGGAAAGGCCCUGCCUUUGUGGGGUGCUCGAGUGGCGAACGGGUGAGUAACACGUGAGUAACCUGCCCUUGACUUUGGGAUAACUUCAGGAAACUGGGGCUAAUACCGGAUAGGAGCUCCUGCUGCAUGGUGGGGGUUGGAAAGUUUCGGCGGUUGGGGAUGGACUCGCGGCUUAUCAGCUUGUUGGUGGGGUAGUGGCUUACCAAGGCUUUGACGGGUAGCCGGCCUGAGAGGGUGACCGGCCACAUUGGGACUGAGAUACGGCCCAGACUCCUACGGGAGGCAGCAGUGGGGAAUAUUGCACAAUGGGCGGAAGCCUGAUGCAGCAACGCCGCGUGCGGGAUGACGGCCUUCGGGUUGUAAACCGCUUUCGCCUGUGACGAAGCGUGAGCGACGGUAAUGGGUAAAGAAGCACCGGCUAACUACGUG
rnacentral:rRNA from 1 species